CGAACGCUGGCGGCGUGCCUAAUACAUGCAAGUAGGACGCACAGUUUAUACCGUAGCUUGCUACACCAUAGACUGUGAGUUGCGAACGGGUGAGUAACGCGUAGGUAACCUGCCUAUUAGAGGGGGAUAACUAUUGGAAACGAUAGCUAAUACCGCAUAACAGUAUGUAACACAUGUUAGAUGCUUGAAAGAUGCAAUUGCAUCGCUAGUAGAUGGACCUGCGUUGUAUUAGCUAGUAGGUAGGGUAAAGGCCUACCUAGGCAACGAUACAUAGCCGACCUGAGAGGGUGAUCGGCCACACUGGGACUGAGACACGGCCCAGACUCCUACGGGAGGCAGCAGUAGGGAAUCUUCGGCAAUGGGGGGAACCCUGACCGAGCAACGCCGCGUGAGUGAAGAAGGUUUUCGGAUCGUAAAGCUCUGUUGUUAAGGAAGAACGAGUGUGAGAAUGGAAAGUUCAUA
rnacentral:rRNA from 1 species